rnacentral:rRNA from 1 species
GAUGAACGCUGGCGGCGUGCCUAAUACAUGCAAGUCGAGCGAACAGAUGAGGAUCUUGCGCCUCUGACGUUAGCAGCGGACGGGUGAGUAACACGUGGAUAACCUACCUAUAAGACUGGGAUAACUUCGGGAAACCGGAGCUAAUACCGGAUAAUAUAUUGAACCGCAUGGUUCAAUAGUGAAAGACGGUUUUGCUGUCACUUAUAGAUGGAUCCGCGCCGCAUUAGCUAGUUGGUAAGGUAACGGCUUACCAAGGCAACGAUGCGUAGCCGACCUGAGAGGGUGAUCGGCCACAGUGGAACUGAGACACGGUCCAGACUCCUACGGGAGGCAGAAGUAGGGAAGCGUGCGCAAUGGGCGAAAGCCUGACGGAGCAACGCCGCGUGAGUGAUGAAGGUCUUCGGAUCGGAAAACUCUGUUAGUAGGGAAGAACAAAUGUGUAAGUAACGAUGCACGUCUUGACGGUACCUAAUCAGAAAGCCACGGCUAACUACGUG